rnacentral:lncRNA from 1 species
UGGACCAUCUAUUUUUAUGGAUGAAUGGAACCCAGGAUUACUUAUAGAUUGAAAAUAACAUGGCCAGGCCUGCUUCCCGUAAACCGUCUACAACGGGGCAUGGAGAAGCAAGAAAAAAACUGUGUAGAUCCAGAAGGUCUCAGGAACUCCCAGCUGUUGAGCAACUGAGGAGUUAAACUGGAAAGGUUGGACUUGUGAUUUAGAACACCUUCCAAACCAGUUCCUUGGCGGAGCUGCUGAAUCAUUUGGAAGUUUAUCUCCAUCAGAGUCAGUUUCUAUCAAAAUGCUCGAAGUCUACUGCAGAUAAAUAGCUGAACCAGGCAAAGAGUUAUAGCAAACUAUCUGUAUAUACAGGCAGAAUGAGUUCCUGCUUCUCAACGGCCCUCGCACAUUUGCUUUAUAAUUUAGAGACACUCUCCUCAGCAGCUUCACCCUCUUCACUCCUCUGUGAGUGGUGCCGAACCAAAGACCAGAACCUCAGACGUGUCACCAUUAUCCGAAACUUCCUGAUUGAAAACCGCCUUAUGGUCACACAUCAUGCGGUCAUUCUGUUUUUCCUUGUACCUAUUUCACAGAAGCUCCGAGGAGAACUUGGAGACUUCUUUGUCGGAUGCAUCUUCACAGCAGAACUGAGUACUCCGUUUGUGUCACUGGGCAGAGUUCUGAUCCAGUUAAAGCAGCAGCAUACGCUUCUUUACAAGGUCAAUGGAAUCCUCACGGUGACCACCUUUCUGUUCUGCCGGAUCCUUCUUUUCCCGUUCAUGUACUGGUCCUAUGGCCAACAAAAAGGACUAAGCCUGCUCCAAGUGCCAUUUAAUAUCCCUUUACACUGCAACGUGGCCAAUGCCAUCCUCAUCUCUCCCCAGCUCUACUGGUUCUCACUGUUGUGCAAGAAGGCAGCCAGGCUCUUUGACACGGCCAAAGCCAAAAAGGAUGGUUAAUUACUCUCAGGGUCAGGCACUCACGCUCGCUGCCUUGUCUACUCAGUAUUCCAAGGACCAAAUCAUGCCUGGGGUAGUCUCUGCCUUCGGGAUGUUGAUAAGCCUCUGGAUUUGUGGUUUUCUUUUUUAAAUCCCCAUUACCUCCCCCUUCUAACCAGCCUUUUGCAAAAGCACUUUUUUUUGUUUUGUUUUGUUUUGUUUUGUUUUGUUUUGUUUUGUUUUGUUUUGUGGUGAUAACUUGGAUCCUGUCAAACCUCCACUGCAGUAAUUUUAAUGCAAGCCUAAGGAGCCCUCCUUGGGCCUGUGACAAGAGUUCUGGAAGGUGAAGCACUGCUCUCCCCCUUUCCACCCACUCAGGGCAACACCCAUACUGGGCCAGAAGCAAGUGACAACUUAGUUUUUGAAACAGUGUCAUUUUCCAAUACUAGGAAAGACAUUGUGGGUGUGUCUUUUACUGUUUACUAGGCAGCCCUUGUCCUCAUCCGUACAUCAACAACGAAUUCUCAUGCCUGCUGACUUCUAGUCAGAGGGUCUCACUGACAAAGGUCAGGAGGCAGGGCUGAGAACCUGAAGCACUUGAGUAGGUCAGGAGGCCAGCAGAGGCGCCAGCAUCUUUGCAGGCUGAUUUUGUAGAGACCAGUAUCAAACUUGUGAGCUUGUUGCAAGUCAUUACCUACACUAUUUCCUUUUUAGCACAGCCUCUCAUGACCAGUUUUCUCUGUCCACAUAGACAAAAAGCUGGUCUGAAACUCCAGGGACAAAGUGAAGUGAUGGCUUCUAUAGUCACUUACUGGGUAAUCCCAUAUGACACUGCCCUUUCAUACAAAAUGGAUACAGAUGUCUGCUCUCGAGCUUCUGAAGUAUCAUGUAGGCCAGUGCUGCAAGUGCUUCCUGCUAAGACAGACCCAUUUCUGUAUGGAAUGUACAGCCAUUUAGCCAUAGCAAGCUAGAGAACGGGGGAAGCCAGACAGGCCAGUGCAUGUCCUGUGGACCAAUGCUGUUAGCUGUGUGCAGUAGGAUGUGGUGUAGCACUGAUCACCCCUCACCACAGGCUGGGUUUGAGAGGACCUGCUGCCACCACCUCAGGUGGCAGCAAAAACACUACAGUGCCUUAUAAUUCACUAUCUGUGGACUUCUAAAGGACUGGAUGGUUUUGUCUCAAAUUUUGAGUUUCAGUCUUUAAUAGGUGCCAUUUAAAAAACAAAAAAAUGCUGUUUUGUGUUUUUUGUCCUGUUUACUGUCCCUGUAUCCACGAGUCAUCCACCUGGUGAUUAAAUUGCACUAAAUUCUCUAUU